rnacentral:rRNA from 1 species
GACGAACGCUGGCGGCGUGCUUAACACAUGCAAGUCGAACGAAGAGCGAUGGCAUCUUGCUUGUAUCAAUGUGAGUGGCGAACGGGUGAGUAACGCGUAAUCAACCUGCCCUUCAGAGGGGGCCAACAGAUGGAAACGACUGCUCAUACUACAUACGAUCGAAUCUUGGCAUCGAGGAUAGAUUAACGGUGGCCUCUACAUGUAAGCUGGCACUGAAGUUGGUGAGUGCGUCUGAUUCGCUAGGUGGAGGGGUAACGUCGCACGAAGGCGAGGAUCAGGAGCCGGGCUGGGAGGAUGAACGGCCACAUUGGGACGGUGACACGGCCCAGACGCACACGGGUAGGAGCAAGGGGGAAACUUCCGCAAUGGGGGGAAAACUGACGGAGCAACGCCGCGGGAGGGAUGACGGCCUUCGGGUUGUAAAGGUCUGUUAAUCGGGAGGAAAGGGCUUUUUGCGAAUACUGAGAGGGAUUGACGGUACCGGAAGAGGAAGCAACGGCUAACUACGUG